rnacentral:rRNA from 1 species
CCCGCACCGAGGCCACCCUUUUCCUUUUUUUCCCAGGGGUCAGGCCGGGAACUCUAAGGAGACUGCCAGUGACAAACUGGAGGAAGGUGGGGAUGACGUCAAGUCAUCAUGGCCCUUACGACCAGGGCUACACACGUGCUACAAUGGUGCGUACAAAGGGAAGCGACCUCGCGAGAGCAAGCUGAUCUCAAAAAGCGGAUCGUAGUCCGGAUUGGAGUCUGCAACUCGACUCCAUGAAGUCGGAAUCGCUAGUAAUCG